rnacentral:rRNA from 1 species
CCACGUGCCAAAGGAUGAGCCCAUGUCUGAUUAGCUAGUUGGUGAGGUAAUGGCUCACCAAGGCGACGAUCCAGUAGCCGGCCUGAGAGGGUGGACGGCCACACUGGGACUGAGACACGGCCCAGACUCCUACGGGAGGCAGCAGUGGGGAAUAUUGGACAAUGGGGCAACCCUGAUCCAGCAAUGCCGCGUGUGUGAAGAAGGCCUGCGGGUUGUAAAGCACUUUUGUUGAGGAAGAAUGUGUUUGGGCUAAUAGUCCAAAUGCUUGACGUUACUCAAAGAAAAGCACCGGCUAACUCCGUG